rnacentral:lncRNA from 1 species
CGCCUUUCCCUCCCCGUUAGCGCCCCCUGCAGGUCCGGGGGAGGCGCUGCGCCGCCGGCUGCCGGCCCCUCACGGGAGGGAAAAGAACCCGUCCUGUUCGCUUGAGAGGGAUCUGGAAAUGAACGAAGAAGCUGUGGGGGUUUCCCAACCCCACCCCCCCUCCAUAAAUAUGUACCCAAAAGUUAAGUUUCUAAACUUGAGACGCUGCGCGGUUCAAGCUGGUAGAGGCUUGGCUGAGAGUGAAAAGUGACCUGACCUCACUACAGCACAGGCAGUGAGGGAAUGUAAAGAAGAGUGUGAAAGAGCAUGGGAGUUACAGAGAAAAUCAGAGUAGGAAGAGGACAGUGGAGGAAGUUGCAUGAGGAGAAGUUGGGCAAAAGGAGUGAAGCAGUUUUUGUCCAAAAAAAGGCAAUGGGAGAGCAAGGAAUGAGUGCCUCAGCUGAAGUGGUGUUGCUGUGGUGACAUUUGACAUAAGUAAUUUCAAAUGGAUUCAAGAGGGAAAUAUCAAUUUUUCAAUAUUAAUCCUAAAUACCUCAGACACUGGCUAUUUCCUUAAAAAACUGAAGAUUUUGCACAACACUUUACAGCCAAAAUCUUUU